rnacentral:rRNA from 1 species
GUGGGGAAUAUUGCACAAUGGAGGAAACUCUGAUGCAGCGACGCCGCGUGAGUGAUGAAGGCCUUCGGGUCGUAAAGCUCUGUCGCAGGGGAAUAACACAAUGAAGGUACCCUGUAAGAAAGGAUCGGCUAACUUCGUGCCAGCAGCCGCGGUAAGACGAGGGAUCCUAGCGUUGUUCGGAAUCAUUGGGCGUAAAGCGGAUGUAGGUGGCUAUGUAAGUCAGAUGUGAAAGCCUGGGGCUCAACCCCAGAAGUGCAUUUGAUACUGCGUAGCUUGAGUGUCGGAGAGGUUACUAGAAUUGUUGGUGUAGUGGUGAAAUACGUAGAUAUCAACAGGAAUACCGGAGGCGAAGGCGGGUAACUGGCCGAACACUGACACUGAGAUCCGAAAGCGUGGGGAUCAAACAGGAUUAGAUACCCUGGUAGUCC